GAAACAGCUCGGCUAAGUUACAAGAGGCUGCGAGCCCGAGAGGUGGAGAGCAACUCAGAGAUGAAGAGGAGUUGCCCUCUGUGUCAGUAAAGGAGGUAGCAAACUGGUUCAUCUUCUUUUUUUUUUCCACAUGAAGAAACAGAUCUUUGUGCAAGCAAGCAAUUUGUUCAAUGAGAUGGGAAUGUCAAUGAUGGCUUUAAGAAAAAAAUCUAAACGUCUCACCAUCAGCCUUCUGCUCAGCUCAGUAGACCAUGUUUCCUCUCACUUUCAAUGACUAAAAAUAAGUGACAACAAAAAUGACAAAAAUAUAUUCUUCAUAAAAAUUGAA